UUUAAGGGCUGGCUGCCACAAGGAAGGUGUGUCUACCUGGAGAUUCUUCUUCUUGGAGUGUUUGGUGAGCCCUGAUCUUUAGAAUGGGAAAGAAGAGAUGUUCAAGAGGAGCCUGGCCAGAAUUCUGCUCAGAACAUAAAGAAUCUUGAAAACUGACAAAGUAACAAUGAAAAGAAGAGAAAGAAGCCUGCUUAAAACUGCAUUAGAGGAAAUACUGUGGAGGUUGAUCUGGGAAUACUCUGAGAGAGAUAAUUAAGAUUUUAAUCUAUUAUUAGGAAGGGCAAGAAAAUUAUUAGGCAGCACAGUAUUGUUUGUUCUUCUUUCCUCAUAGAUUCUUCUUGCUGAUAACUUUCUCAAGGCAAAGACAGUCUCCUGCAAAUGAGUCAGCUAGAUCUUAUUUAUUCCAGGGUGCAUAUCUCACUCUUUGAGGGUGUUCAUUGUGUCAAAUUAGUCCUGUUAGUUCUAGGGAGGUGACACGCUACUUGGAAUUAAAGACCGUGGUCCCAGAAGCAUCAGGCAGAACAUCAGUCAUGAGCUUGCCUGAAGAGCACAAAUCAAACAAGUUUUUUAUUGUCAUGCCUUCAGUUGACCCAUUGGAGGAUGAAGCUCAUACACUUAUCCUCCAGUGUUGCAGUGAGACCAUGCAUAUAGUUAAAGCAGGUCAAUAUGGUACUGUGGAAGUCAAUGUAGCUAGGCAGUUUAAUGAAUAUCUGACCUAGUGUAUGCAGGGGUAAGUGCUUGAAGUUUACAUAUUACACCAUGCUCAGAGGAAAGGCAGUCCAUCUGCUUUCUUUUUAAAGAGGCUUGAAAAAAAAACAGAAGGAAUGGCUGAUGUGUCAAGACAGCAGUGAAGAGAAAUACUUGAAUUGUUGGCAGCCUAGUCAAAGAUUUGGAGUCAUUUUCAAGCUUGUUGCUUAAGGAAGAAAACAAAAAAGCGAAAACAGAAAUGAAAUCCCAACUGGACAUAAAGAAAAACACAUGUACACAUUUAAAAACCACCGAGAAAUCAAACUCCCCACCCCUCCCCAACCUUUUGCUGCACAGCUUUGCUUCAGAAAAUGUUCUGUAAUUUCCUCUAGAAAAUAUUGCAUUACUCUAAGUAGAUAUUACAAUAUCCAGAUAUAAAUAGGGGGAGGCAUAGAGACUACAGCUGAAGAUGAAAAUUUUAUGUGCAUGCUUCUUUAUUCGGAAAAUACUAGUAAAGAAAGGCAAAACAUCGCUUAAUGGGCACAAGAAUAUUUGUUAAAGAUUAUCUCUGCAACAGCUUGGGAUCAAAGGAACAAACCCACAUCUUCCCUUUACCUAUCUAUCUUUUAUCAGUUAUGCCUUCAUAUGUUUUACCAUUUCUUUCCCAAAGGUUAUCUUCUGCUAUGCAACUUUUAUGCUUUUAUUCUUUUUAAUUGAUUUAGCCAGAAGUUAAACAGACACUCAGGCUUCUAGUUGUAGUAGCACUCUGGCAAUUCAGUUCACAUGAAACAUCCCCAAAUGCCAUAUAAAUAGAUAUGCAUUCUCAUUGCAUAAUACAAUUGACAUCUUUAUGUGGAUCUUCUCUAAUUCACAGCUGGAUGAACACAGGUUGCUCAUUAGUCAAUUGGCCAGCAUUUUAUCAGUCAGCUCCUUAAGCACUCACCACUUCAGCUGAGACAGUUAUGCUUCCUACUGUUCAGGCUAGUCCGUGACUCUGUUAAUAUGCAUUCACAAUUCCUUUUUGUGCUUCUGACUCUUUCCUCUGUGAAAGCUUGCUCCUGAUAACAGAAGUGUUCAGCUGUGAUGACCAUAUAGGGUUUGCAUAUAUUGGUUGAAUGCACCAUGUUGGUGCAGGGGUGGGAGUGUAAGAUUGGUAGGUGAAGGAGAAAGUCAGCCCCCUCCCCACACAACCCUCUAAACAUGCAGCAUCCUUCUUGUGUAGCUUCUGUCUAGAGGCUGGGAAACAAGAAAGAGUUAUUCACACCCUUGGUGGUUUUGAAGGGCUGCCGUGAGUGGCUGUGCCACAGGGAGGUCAGCAGAUCACACCAGGCUCCUGUUUAAGACCAUUUGGUUGUGUGCCUUCUCAACACCAAAGCUGCCAGAGAAGUGAUGAAGAGGAUUUCAUAGCAGCAAUGAGGUCUUCUGGACUGGAAAAAGUUCAGAUCUGCUCUUUUGUGUGUUUGUCAUCACACGGCUAAUGUCAAAUAAUGCAAAGUAUCCUUAGCUGGUAGUUCAUGGGGGGAAAAAAAUUACAGAGGCACUAUAACACAGUGAAUCACCUUUUCCUAGUGGGACCAUGGUUUGAAGAUGGCUACAGACCAUAAGCUAAAGCAAAGUAUUUAUUUAUUUCAGAAGGUGACGAGUAGGGUAGCUUUCCAAAUGUUUUUAUGUUCUGGAAACAUAGUUUCCAUUUCAGGUGGUUUAUUUGAAUUUAAUCAUGGAGGUGCUGAAGUAUGGAAAUGUUUAGUUGUGAUACUGUUGGAAAAUUUCAACCUUUAAUGAUGCUACUUGUGCCUGCAUUGAGAAGUAUCCAUGGAAACGAUGCAGUAAUUCAUAAACUGUUGAGCUGUAUAAAGUCUCUCUACCACAAAUAUGUCUCAGCAAGAAAAUCAUAGAUACAGUUUUCAUGUCAAUGUUGCAUAGUUAAAAAUUGUGUCUCUUUUAAGUCAGCAAUUUGGAUAUAGAGAAUUAUUCAGUACUUCGUGACUUAAUGAACUAAGAAUACCAAUCCUGACCCUCAAAUACACAAUGUGUCACAAAAAAGCCUGAAAAUUAAUCUUCAUGUGAACUGAGUAUAAAGUUGUAGGAAAAUUGCUUUUUAUGUGUAUUCUUUUAUUUUCUUUUGAAUUAUCAGAUAGUACUGAAAUAAAUGGUACCUG
ensembl:lncRNA